rnacentral:rRNA from 1 species
UACGUAGGGGGCUAGCGUUGUCCGGAUUUAUUGGGCGUAAAGAGCGUGUAGGCGGCCAGGUAGGUCUGGUGUGAAAACUCGAGGCUUAACCUCGAGAUGUCAUCGGAAACCAUUUGGCUAGAGUCCGGAAGAGGAGAGUGGAAUUCCUGGUGUAGCGGUGAAAUGCGCAGAUAUCAGGAAGAACACCAUGCGAAAGCAGCUCUCUGGGACGGUACUGACGCUGAGACGCGAAAGCGUGGGGAGCGAACAGG